GUGCUCACUUUGGCAGCACAUAUACUAAAAUUGGAAUGAGCAGAGAAGAUUAGAAUGGCCCCUGCACAAGGAUGACAUGCAAAUCUGUGAAGUGUUCCAUAAUUUU
rnacentral:snRNA from 1 species